rnacentral:rRNA from 1 species
UACGGGGGGGGCAAGCGUUGUUCGGAAUUACUGGGCGUAAAGGGUUCGUAGGUGGCUAACUAAGUCUGACGUGAAAUCCCUCAGCUCAACUGGGGAACUGCGUCUGAUACUGGUUGGCUUGAGUGCAGGAGAGAAGAGUGGAAUUCCACGUGUAGCGGUGAAAUGCGUAGAGAUGUGGAGGAACACCAGUGGCGAAGGCGACUCUUUGGCCUGUAACUGACGCUGAGGCGCGAAAGCGUGGGGAGCAAACAGG